AAACAUAAUCCAAAUACAAAUGAGCGAGGCUUAUUUGUUCAUUCAUUCAAUAUCUGGUGCAAAGUUUCAGUAUUUCCCAAAAAAACAGUUAUGGAUCUCUCCGUUUCUUUCUCCAAAACCCGUCCUCCUCCGUUCUCUCCCUCUUUCUGCCGUCCAAUCACUCCGCAACUGCUGCGAUUCUCCCGAAACUCCGGAACCUUUCGCCGCCGUUGAUUUCCCGCCAAAACAAGCUCGCGGUCACAGCCAUUCAGGUUUCGGAUCUAUCCGAGAAUUACGACGAUUCUGUCCUCGAAGACGUUCCGCACCUCACCGACUUCCUUCCCAAUUUGCCGGUGAUAGACAAAUCUUUUGGAUUUAAUACUGCUGUGGAAGAAGCCCACAUAGCCAUUAACGCUGCACAUGGGGAGGUUGAAAAUGUUGAAAAUGGAGUUGGAAUUGUCGAGCUGAUGCUGAUGGGCAGAUACAAUGCUAAACAAUAUUUUCUUCUCUUUUUGUAUUGCAAUUCUAAUUUUCUAAAUAAUUUUAUUCAAUGAAAUGAUAAAAAAUGGGAGCUUUUUCCUAUGAAUGAAAUAUUGGUAUCCGAUCUUUAAGCAUCCUAUUUCUCUUUUCAGAGAUAUACUUUACAAGCUUGCGUAUGCAGGUUUCAUUGCAAUGUAUGCAACAUUGGCAAGUCGAGAUGUGGGUUCUUGGUUGUGUUGAUGAAUACCAAAUUUGGGACAAAAUCCAUCCCUAUUUUCAUCAUUAAACUCCAACAAACGCACGGCAGUUGCAUUCUGAGUUACGCCAUUCUUCUCUCGUCAAUAGCCCCAUGAACAAAUUCCUGCUUCGAAUCAAAGCCCUAGUUGAUUUGCUCUACUCUGUUGGAGAUCCAGUUUUGCCAAAGGAGAAUUUGGGUGCUACUCUCUAAGGUUUACCUCAAGAGUUUGACUCUGUAAUUCCUUUGAUUGAAAGUCACAGUGAUGAAAUUACUAUCGAAGAGGUUGAAGGCCUCAUUGUUGCUCAGGAACUGCGAUUGCAGAAAUAUUUCAAGAAAACCUCAUCAGACUCUACCUUCUCUGGAUCUCUAUCAAUUUGACACAAUCUGUUUCUCAGAUCCCUACCACUUCUUUUGAUCAAAACAGAACAUCAAUUUUCCUCUGAUCAGAAUCAAUCUUCGCCAUUUACUUAAUAUUGUGGUUCUGGUUGGAGGCUGUUUUGGCCAUGGUAGGGGCCGUGGCGGUUGGGGUUCUGUUCACUGACAUGUGCACUUCAAGUUUGGGCACACUGCUUUUGUUACGUGCUGGAAACUGAAAGCUGAACUUCGAGGGUCAGCACCUCCAGAAGAAGAAGAAGAAAACUAAGGGAGAAAGGAAAUUUUGCUAUUUUCAUUCAUGCCUGAUUUGGUUAUUUACAUAGCUAUAGGAGACAAUUCCAAAUCAAGCUAGAUACGAUAUUGGUGCUGCUGAUGCUGAAGAUGAAAUCCCGAGCUGUCCUCAUGCCUAAUCCUUCAGAUCCAACAUACAUGAUUCGGGCUAUUCCAAGUAAUGCCUCGGACAACAUUUACUGCACUCUUCUUGCUCAUGGUGCUGUUCAUGGAGCUAUGGCUGGAUAUACUGGCUUCACAGUCGGGCCUGUGAACAGUAAACAGGCUUAUAUCCCAAUUGCCUGUGUGAUGGAGAAACAAAAUAAGGUCAAGCUGACUGAUAGGAUGUGGGCUAGACUUCUUGCAUCGACGAAUCAACCAAGUUUCGUUGCCUAUGAUCAAGAAAGAGUCGAGAAAGAUAUAAAUAACAUGAAUAUUACCUCUCAAACUAGAUUUAAUAGGUAUUUUGAUUGAUUGAUGCGAAUUGAUUAGUCAGAUAAUGGAUUAUCAUUUAGCAUAUGGGGGCUGAUAGUACCCAUUCAUUUAUUUGUAUUUUAUUAAUUGGGCAGUUGACAUGUUGAAUGAAAAUCAGAAUUUAAUAAAUUUAUAUACCAGCAUGAUAGUUCCACUA